CCUACGGGCGGCAGCAGUGGGGAAUAUUGGGCAAUGGGCGCAAGCCUGACCCAGCAACGCCGCGUGAAGGAAGAAGGCUUUCGGGUUGUAAACUUCUUUUCUCAGGGACGAAGAAAGUGACGGUACCUGAGGAAUAAGCCACGGCUAACUACGUGCCAGCAGCCGCGGUAAUACGUAGGUGGCAAGCGUUAUCCGGAUUUAUUGGGUGGAAAGGGCGUGUAGGCGGGGGCGCAAGUCAGAUGUGAAAACUCAGGGCUCAACCCUGGGCCUGCAUUUGAAACUGGGGUUCUUGAGUGCUGGAGAGGCAAGCAGAAUUCCAGGUGUAGCGGUGAAAUGCGUAGAGAUACGGAGGAACACCAGUGGCGAAGGCGGAUUGCUGGACAGUAACUGACGCUGAGGUGCGAAAGCGUGGGGAGCAAACAGGAUUAGAUACCCUUGUAGUC
rnacentral:rRNA from 1 species